rnacentral:rRNA from 1 species
GAUGAACGCUGGCGGCGUGCCUAAUACAUGCAAGUCGAGCGAACAGACGCGGAGCUUGCUCCUCUGACGUUAGCGGCGGACGGGUGAGUAACACGUGGAUAACCUACCUAUAAGACUGGGAUAACUUCGGGAAACCGGAGCUAAUACCGGAUAAUAUAUUGAACCGCAUGGUUCAAUAGUGAAAGACGGUUUUGCUUUCACUUGUAGAUGGAUCCGCGCCGCAUUAGCUAGUUGGUAAGGUAACGGCUUACCAAGGCAACGAUGCGUAGCCGACCUGAGAGGGGGAUCGGCCACCCUGGAGCUGAGACACGGUCCAGACUCCUACGGGAGGCAGCAGUAGGGAAUCUUCCGCAAUGGGCGAAAGCUUGACGGAGCAACGCCGCGUGAGUGAUGAAGGUCUUCGGAGCGUAAAACUCUGUUAUUGGGGAAGAACAAAUGUGUAAGUAACUAUGCACGUCUUGACGGUACCUAAUCAGAAAGCCCCGGCUAACUACGUG